rnacentral:lncRNA from 1 species
GGAUUGGGAUAUUCCGACUCCUUAAGGGCCUGGCGCACAUAAGGUGUGACCUUUUCAUUCCCGUUGUUAUGGAGGUAGGCUCUCUAGGAAUCUGGGAGUAGUAGCUGGGGGGCAAGAGCAAAUAAAGAGCUCGAGCUUCUGUGGUCUCUGGGGAGAUGUUCCCGGGAAGCCUGUCUAGAGGGCGGAGGGCAGCUGUUGAGAUGGCGUGGCUCCCCGGCUCCUGCGCCCGCGUGGCUUUCGCGGCGGGCGCUGCGGCCCGGUAUUGGACAGCCUGGCAGGGCAGCGCGGGGCCGAAUCCGGCUGCCGUGGCUGAGGCUCAUGGAUCACUCUUUUGUGGUAGGGCCACAUCUGCCAGAGCCUGGAGUCUGCGAAGGCCGGGACCCGGUUCCCCGGCCCACAGUGGGGGUGUGCAAACCCGAGAGAACUGGUCGCUGAAACCUCUACAACUUAGUUGACCGUAACUGCCAGAGCCCUGCCCUGAAUUCCUGUCCUUACUCCCUCUUUAAGAUUGCGUACCCACUGCAGAGUGCUGAAGACGGGGUAGCCACGAGGUUGCAAAUUCGUGAAGAAUCAGCAUCAUGUUUGGCAGCUGAGUAUUGGAGCCAGGAGCCUGCCAUGAGGUUUUGAGAACAGAGUGCUGUUUUAGAGCUGGCAGCAGCAUCUCAGCCCAAGAGAAGGUUAUAUUCCCAGAGGAUGUCAGUCCCAAGGACCAGUAGCUGCCAUCAGUUUGGAUUCUGAAAACUAACUGGCAUCAACACUGGGUGUAGAAACAUGCUUGCCUUAUGUAUCAGAGGACAUGCUCAGCAGAUCCAAGAGAUAUAUUUGGCAACUUUUUCUAGAAAAGGCACAUUGGGUAUCAUUCAUUACAUUCUUGAGUUUUUUUGGGUUUUUUUUUUUUUUUUUGAGACAGUCUUGCUGUAUUGCCCAGGCUGGAGUGUGGUGGCACAAUCACAGCUCAUUGCAUCCUCAAUCACCCAGGCCUAAGCAAUCCUCCCACCUUGUAGCUGGGACUACAGCUCACAGCACACCUGGCUAAAAUUUUUUUUUUGUUGAGACGGAUUCUCUAUGUUGCCCAGGCUGGUCUCAGGCUCCUGGGCUCAGAUGGUCCUCCUGCCUCAGCUUCCAAAGGCACAGGCCAAGUUGUAGCUUUGUCCCUUGCCAUCAUGCCCAACAAGAGGUUCUAUACCUUUUAAUGAAUUGACUUUCAUAAAUUGGUUAUGUUGGUGGGCAAAGUUCUUUAAGCUGGAAAUUGUAAAUUCCUCCUGAAAUGUUUUUUCAUGCAGUUACCAUGAACUAAUACUACAAUAAAGGAUGGUCUUGGGUGUCAAUUCUUGAAAA